GUUCCAUUUGCCUUUUAUUGCUGGAGGAAGAAGAGCACAUCAGUAUCCCAGGAACGAUUUCACCUCAGGAAAAAGAAAGAGGAAAGAAAUGAUCUUGCAGUGAUGGAACCUCAAGCCGCAAUAGCAGCGACUUCCUCACCUGUCAAGGACUCUGAGGUCACCUACAGCUGCAUCC